CUGAGGGGCUGAAGGGACAAGGCUAAGGGCAGGGAGGAGAUCCCAGCUUUGGGAAGGGUGAUGUGGGGCAGGAAAGGGCGAUAUUCAAAGCGGCAGAGGAAGCCCUGGGAGCGUGUGCACGCCUGUGUGGCGCAGCACUCGUGGCUGUGAAGGGGCCGAAGGAGUCUGGUGACAAAGCAGGGCCCAGGGACAGAUGGAGCGCCCAGCCGCCCCUCCAGGUGGCCGAACAGCAGGGACCACUCGUGCCGCUGCUCAUAAUCCUCCGUGGCCCUUCUGGCCCAGCAAGACAACCCUCUGCGCAUGCAGGAGGGCAGGAGGAGAGCGGGAGGAUAAAGGGAUGACGUGCAGCUAGCAGGACGGUGAGGGAUGGAGGGAUGUGUUUUUACAGCAGGCACAGCUGCAGAGUCACAGAAUCACAGAGUGGCUUGGGUUGGAACCGACCUUAAGGAUCCUCCAGUGCCACCCCUGCUAUGGCAGGGACACCUCCCACUGUCCCAGGCUGCUCUAAAUCUAAUCCUGCCUGGCCUUGGGCACUGCCAGGGAUCCAGGGGCAGCCUCAGCUGCUCUGAGCACCCUGUGCCAGAGCCUCCCACCCUCCCAGGGAAGAAUUUUCUCUUUAUAAACAAUCUAAAUGUACCCUCCUUCAGCUAAAGCCAUUCCCUGUGUCCUGUCCCUGCAGGCCUUGUCCCCAGUCCCUCUCCAGCUCUCCUGGAGCCCCUUCAGGCCCUGGAACUCCCAACCCCUGAGUGUCCCUCUUGUCACUGCUCUGCCCUGACACCGAGCCAGGUGUCAGUGUGACCACCCAGCCCCUUCCUCACCCACCGAGUGCUCCACCCAGGAAAUCCCUGUCCCUCCACUCUGGGGACAAGGACGUCGUGUGGGACAGAGUGGAACGCUUUACGCAAUUCCAGGUGGGUGACACCGGUCACUGUUCCCUCACCCACCAGCACUGUCACCUCCACUGGUUGCCCUCAGUGAAACCAUUUCCCGUGGCUGAAACUCCCUGGGACGAGCGCGAGGUGACACCGGGCUGGUGUCACAGCGACAGCCAAGCAGGCGGGAGGAACACCCAGCCUCGCUCUUCAGGGCUAAACCAUCGCAGAGCGCGUUUUGGGAGUUAACCCGGGCAGCGGGCAGGGAGGGAACACCGGCCCCUGUCUGUUGACAGCCAGGCUCCUGCACGUCCCCGAGGGCUCUGUGUCACCCAUCUGCCCAGAGGGAGCUGCAGAGCUACUAAAGCAUGGAAAUAUGGGACACGCUGGCCUGCCAGAUAAGCAAAUCAAAGCGAGACUGCGAGUCCCCUCCAUCUCCAUGUGGCCUGGAAGGGAGGGCAGCAGGAACCAAUGUCCUCGGUGUAAGGCAGACAAGAUCUGUGAGAUGCUGCAGGACACUUGGGGGACAGGAGAGGGUGAGAGGUCUUUGGGCCCUGAGGAGCUCCCAGCCCGAACUAGACAGAGCAUGUAACCAGGACUGACAAAAGCUGCCUGAUGAGACAGAAGACGACUGUUCUGGGGGAAAGCCAUCUGCAAAGAGCCCUCUCCAUCAGGCCUGAGGGUCUGCAAGAAGUUUUGUGCAAGUCAUUCCCUCCACUGGCAAGGACAAUGUGACAGGAAUCAGGGCCUGGGUGUCCCUCCUGCUUUUGGUGAACUCUCCUGAAUCUCCAGUGUCCUUGCAGUGUGCUGUGGGAACUGCCUUUGGAAAGACUGAGCUGUCUCCAUGCAUUUCCUGCAUCACUCAUCUGUGUUCCAGUGCUUCCAUCUCCCUUCCCUUCAAUCUCUGACACCGUGUUCCUCCUGCUCCCAGCCUGGGCAGAGGUCAGGGCACUCUGUGUUCAGUCGUGCCCAGGCCUGAUUUUGGAAUUGCCCCUUUAGAAACCUGACUCUCAUGAAGUCCCCCUGGCCGUGGAGAUGGCUGGGGGCACUUUGGCUGCCUGAAGAAUUCCCAGGGCAUUUUCUGCUGUUUAUUUUGAGUUUGGGCAGCCAGGCCAUUUGCAUGCAGCCUGUGAAGGACACGUGUGAUGCUCCUCCUGAGCUGUGCAGUCACUGCCGGCCCUGUCCUGCACACUCAGCACUUCAGGCAUGCAAAUAAAGGGUGUGUGGCUUUCAUGCAGAUGCUGCAGCUUUAAAUAUGAGCUGCACAGGAAAAUUGCAUGAAGAACACCUUUUCAGGCUGGAAGCAAGCUCUCUAUGAGGAUUAAAGGCAGUGUCACCUCAGCAGCAAGGGCAGAGUUCUGCUUGACUAGAGAAUUCCUGGUUUGGCUGGGAAGGGACCUUGAGGAUGAUCCCAUUCCCCCCCCUGCCAUGGGCAGAGGGGCCCAGCCCUCGGGGCAGCUCCGUGGCCUCCUCUGGAUCCCCUCGAGCAGCCAGAGCUGGUUCCUGUCCCUGGCAGCCCCUCGGCCCCAGCCGCUCGUGCUGGGCUGGACUGGCAGCUCCCAGUGCCAGGUAACGAACCCCACACGGCUCCACAGCCCUGGAAGGUGAACCUCCCACGCCAAUCCCCUCAGCAGGAAGGUUUUCCAGGCUCCUGCCUCUGCUCCCAAGCCCCUGCUGCCAAAGCAGAGCAGCGUAAAUCAGCUCAGCCCUGAGGCUGGGGCAGGAGGGGAGCUCUGAGGAAUUGUCCAACAUCCAAAGCUGGACUGAGGACAAGGAAGGGACGGCUGGGGUGAGGGUGUGACUGCAGAAACUGGUCCCAAGGAGCACAGUGAAAGUGCAGCACAGGCUGCAGCAGAGCUGCUCCAGUUACAGCUGAACCAGAGGGUGGCUGACGGCGGAAUUAAGAGUUGCCUGGAAAUGCCAAAGGAUGGAACUCAAUCUGUCAUCUAAUUUAAUCACCACGUUGGUAAAGCCCAGCUCUUUCUGGAAGAGACAACCUAAACACAGGCUCUAGAAGGAGAUUUCUUCCCUUGGGACUCCACAGCAGACCUGGAGACCUGAUUGUGAAAUCCCAUCAUUGCAGGGAGGAAAAAAAUGCCAAUAAUAUCCAAAGCUUGUGCUCAAAGGCCACAAACUGCCAUGAUUUCUCUACAUCUCUUUCUGCUCUUGUUUUUAAAAGACACAGGAGCUGGAGGAAAUGACAGCAGUUCUUAGUUCUGUGGGGGAGAAUUCCCAUUUAAAUUCUUAUUCACCUCCCAAAAAUGAACGACUUUAAGGAAGGGAGUGGGGGGGGUGGGGGGUGAAUGUGCUGCAGUUGCUUGGAAUAAGAAUACAACUUGUUAAAUAAAGAUAAUCCAAGGGGAAAAAAAAUCUUGGCAGGCUAUGAAAUUCAAAAAAAGCAGAAAACUAGAAAGUCUGAGCAAUAGCAGAAGCAAAAAGACUGAGACACAGCCCCUUUGCAGCCUUUUGAGAGAUAAAACAGCCUUUGGGGAGAGCAGGCAGGUCUGAGGGCCCAGCAAAGGAGGCUGUUGGCACUUUAAUUUUUGCAGCCUAGAGGAUUUAUCACAGAAAACAGCAGGGCAGCAGACAGGCAGGAAUUAAGGAAAAUUUAGGCCCCCACCUCUAUGAAUUGAUUAUAAUUGGAAGCAUCCACCAGCCAAGGAUCCAGGCAACCAAACAGCCCAAUUCAGCUAUUUUCAAGUUUUUGGUAAACUGAAUGAAUCCCUAAUAGCAGCACUCAGCUGUGGAGUGGUGUCUGCAUUAAAAACUCCUUUUAAGGGGAAGAAAACAAACUCUGAAGGAAUCAAAGCCCCCCUUGUCCAAACUACUCCCAAAUUAUCCGAUGUGGAGAAGGUCUGUGCCAGCUGGGAAAGUGAAGGGCACGAAAUGCCGCACGAAGUAGGUGAUAAAGAAAUAAGUGCUGAAGACAUCUAUAAAUAGAGGUGUUCAGUGCCAGCAUCAGGCAUUGAGCAGGGAAUGGCACAAGCAGAGCAAGCUUGGGAGAAGGCUCCUGGAGAAGGAGAGGGGAAGAUGACAGGAGAGUCGUGAAGAUCAGAGAGCUCCAUGGCAAUUAAGUCGUGUCGGGGAGGGAUGAAGGCGCUGGCGACAGACAAGCAAACCCUCAGGACAUCAGGAUGCCACGUGAAAGGGGGGGAGAUGGUGGCUGAGGAGCCUGAAUGACUCAAGGAUCCUUUCCCAAAUUAAAGCCAGUCCCCAGAGGUCGUUACACAUCAUAAUGAGACACCCGGUGCGGUCUCUGCUCAGGAGCAAAUCCUCUGCUCCACAGCUGGCCCAGGUUCUGGGCUUGCUCAAGCCCUGCGAGCCACAGACUCACUGAGGGCACAUGGGAGAGCCUCAGCCCCCUCCCAGCAAAGAAUUUCCUCUUAAUAAACAAUCCAAACGUA